AGUAAAAAGUCGUAACAAGGUUUCCGUAGGUGAACCUGCGGAAGGAUCAUUAUCGAAACAAUGGGGUGGAGGUUUGUUCAUGUGACUGACCGCCGCCCCUCACCAAUUACACUCCUGUGCACACUAGGCUGGCUUGUGAACGGGGGGGAAGGUUUCCCCUCGGAAUCAUGCCUUGCCGCAUCCUUAUACAAACCCCAGAGUAUAACAGAAUGUGCUUGCGUUCAACGCAUCGUAUCACAACUUUCAGCAACGGAUCUCUUGGCUCUCGCAUCGAUGAAGAACGCAGCGAAAUGCGAUAAGUAAUGUGAAUUGCAGAAUUCAGUGAAUCAUCGAAUCUUUGAACGCACCUUGCGCUCCUCGGCAUUCCGAGGAGCAUGCCUGUUUGAGUGUCAUGAAACCCUCAACCCUGUCAUCUUUGCGGAUGUAAGCAGGGCUUGGAUCCUGGAGGUUUUUUUGCUGGAUGCUUCCGGGCGUCUGGCUCCUCUUGAAUGCAUUAGCUUGGACAGACCGGCUAGGGUCGACGUGAUAAACAUCACCGUUGACCGGAAGGCCCCGUCAGGCGUCGAGCUUCCAAUCGUCUUCGGACAAAAGUGUCUCUGACCUCUGACCUCAAAUCAGGUAGGACUACCCGCUGAACUUUAAGCAUAUC
rnacentral:rRNA from 1 species